rnacentral:lncRNA from 1 species
UCACCCCCUGCCUUUCCAAAUCUGGUGGGAAGGAGGGGAAUGUUAGUGUGUGUGUGUGUGUGUGUGUGUGUGUGUGUGUGUGUGUGUGUGUGUACCUGUGCAUGUCUGAGUCUGUGCCUGUGUAGGUAUGAGUGUGUAUGGGAGAGAGAGGUUUGUUAUGGGUCCCUCCUGAGGUUCCUCCUGCCUCCAGUCCUGGGGACUCACGGUGAAGCCUCUCCAAUACUAAGAGGUUUACAGUGCACCCCUACCGGGAGGAGACAAUCCCUGCCAUUGUAUGCACCAGGCGCAGCCACGCAGAUGAGCACACUGGGAACCGAGCCCACGGACCUGCUGGCACCAGAGCACAGCCUCACACAGAGCCUGAUCACCUUCUGCCAUCCACAAUGAGAGCUCACAUAUGAACAACAAUCACCUUUGUCUCCUCUUUAGAAGAAAAAAAAAAAAGAGAUGCAGAGAGAGAGAGAGAGAGGGAGGAACCGUAGGCCACAUCCUUUGCGGAUUCCUAAUUCCGACGCACUCCUGCACGGACACAACGGGAAUGGAGGUGCCGGAGACAGCCCCGAGGCAUGUUCUGCAACUCUUCACCCAUUUCAGAUCUUCAGCCAUCCAGAGCCAUCCAGAGAGGAGAGUGAAAACCGAAGGAGACGAGCCCCCCAGUAAAUAUAUAUAUAUAUAUUUGCUUGAGAUGUGCCCAAUAGAGACGAAAGCGCGAAAUCGGCUGAGCGGAAAAGUUAUCAGAUGUUCCAGUUUGUGGCCCCGUGAAAUCGACAUGAGAUUCCCCUCCAUCAGUCAGUCACCCACCACCUCCACCCCCGACUGGUGUCUGGCCCCUCUUUCCUGGAGGAAGACAGUUUAAAGGGUUGGAAAUAGGGGGGGGGGGGGGGGGGGGGGGUGCAGAGUCCUGAAAGAGCAAACAAGAAGGCAUCGGCCACUCACUGACUUAACCUCUGUCAUCCCCCUGCACCCGUGUCAGCAAAGAAUGAAAUAAAGAUGAAUGAGCCCUUAUCCCA